rnacentral:rRNA from 1 species
GAGCUAAUACCGGAUAAUAUUUUGUAACCGCAUGGUUCAAAAGUGAAAGACGGUCUUGCUGUCACUUAUAGAUGGAUCCGCGCUGCAUUAGCUAGUUGGUAAGGUAACGGCUUACCAAGGCAACGAUGCAUAGCCGACCUGAGAGGGUGAUCGGCCACACUGGAACUGAGACACGGUCCAG